rnacentral:rRNA from 1 species
AAGACCUCANAACGGACGAGGCGACCCGCCGAACUUAAGCAUAUCAA